GAAUGCUCCGCCCCCUGUAGUCUUUGGUACUGUUGCUGAUAGCGAGCCCUUGUGGUGUACUGUGCGCCGGGAAGUGAAGGUUGUCAUUUCCUACCGUACACAGCAGACUGCGGGGUCAUUACAGGCGGCGAUGCCCUGGAAGCUCUGGUAUAAGGCAUGGCAUCAGCUGGUAAUGUAACCCGGGCGAUCCGGCUCCCUGCUAGACACGGUUAUGCUGUGGAGUUCUCUCCUUAUGUACCCACUCGCCUGGCAUGUGCAGCCUCCCAGAACUAUGGCAUCUCAGGUUGUGGUACUUUAUUCUUGCUAGACCAAAAUGAUGCGGGGCUUCUUUGUUUUAAAAGCUUUGAGUGGAGCGAUGCACUCUUUGAUGUGACAUGGAGCGAAAUUAGUGAGAAUAUCCUGGUAACAUCUAGUGGAGAUGGAUCAUUGCAACUAUGGGACAUAUCCAAACCCCAAGAACCUGUACAUGUUUUCAGAGAGCACACCCAAGAGGUUUACAGUGUGGAUUGGAGUCAGACAAGAGGAGAGCAGCUUCUGGUAUCCGGAUCCUGGGAUCAUACUGCAAAACUAUGGGAUCCUUCCAUUGGGAAGUCUUUGUGCACCUUCAUAGGUCAUGAAAAUAUUGUGUACAGCACAAUCUGGUCACCUCAUAUAGCAGGCUGUUUUGCAUCUGCCUCAGGAGACCAAACUUUAAGGAUAUGGGAUGUGAAAUCACCAGUAUCGAAACUAGUAAUUCCUGCUCACCAAGCAGAGAUUUUAAGUUGUGAUUGGUGCAAAUAUGACCAGAAUUUGCUUGUAACGGGUGCAGUUGACUGCUCUUUAAAAGGCUGGGAUUUAAGGACUAUCCGUCAACCUGUCUUUGAACUCCAUGGUCAUACCUAUGCUAUCAGGCGGGUGAAAUUUUCUCCCUUUCAUGCAAGUAUUUUGGGAUCGUGUUCCUAUGAUUUCACAGUGAGGUUAUGGGACUUUUCGAAACCAUCACCAUUGCUUGAAACUAUGGAGCAUCAUACAGAGUUUACUUGUGGCCUUGACUUCAGCAUUCUUGUCCCAGGACAGGUAGCAGACUGUGCGUGGGAUGAAACUGUUAAAGUAUAUGCCCCAUCUUCUCUAUCAGUACCUCAAUGAUAUUCAUUUAUCUACAAAGAAGAAGAGGAAAUUUCUCAGCGACUAAUAAUUACCAUUCAAUUGUUAUUUCUGCCAUUAUUUUUUUCUACUUGUGAUUUCAAAUUCCGAAUAUUGGCAUAGAAAAAACCAUUCAGGGCUUCAAAGAAAUGUUUAAUAGAUAGUACAACUGAAAGGUGGACAUAGUGUUAUACCGAUCCUUGGUUGCAGGGCAGCUUUUGCAGCAGUAAUCUUUCUUCAUGACUGUCUGCAAUGAAAACCAGACCCACAAGCUAAGCCUACUCAUUCUCUGGAAUUAAUAGGACACGGGCACCAAUUUUCUCUGUCAAAUUUAUUCAAGACUGUUUGCUUGCCGGUUAAUAUAUAAAAUAUAUUUGUUUUUCUUUCGUUUCUUGAUUCUAUUUUAUUUCUAAGUUAACUGUCCCUUUAAAGGGGUACUCCGCCCCUAGACAUC